rnacentral:rRNA from 1 species
UACAAAGGUCUCAAGCGUUGUUCGGAUUCAUUAGGCGUAAAGGGUGCGUAGGCGGCGCGGUAAGUCGGGUGUGAAAUCUCGGGGCUUAACUCCGAAACUGCAUUCGAUACUGCCGUGCUUGAGGACUGGAGAGGAGACUGGAAUUUACGGUGUAGCGGUGAAAUGCGUAGAUAUCGUAAGGAAGACCAGUGGCGAAGGCGGGUCUCUGGACAGUUCCUGACGCUGAGGCACGAAGGCCAGGGGAGCAAACGGG